CCUGCUAGACCGUCAGCGCUUCGCGCGCUCGCGCCGGUAGGCGCCCGGCCCCGCGCCAGCGGCUUUCUUGAACGCCUUGCUGAACGCGGCUUCCGACUGGUAGCCGACGCGCUCGGCGAUCGCGGCGGUGCUCAACGCGGUUUCGGCCAGCAGCUUGCGCGCCAGCUGCAUGCGCCACAUAGUCAGGUACUGCAUUGGCGUAUUCCCGACGAGCUGGUGGAAACGCGCCGCGAGCGCCGAGCGGGACAUUCCUGCGUCGCGCGCCAGCGAAUUGAGGGUCCACGGCUUGGCGGGCUCCUUGUGCAUGAGCGCCAGCGCCGCGCCGAUCUGCCGGUCCGCGAUCGCAGCAAGCAUGGCGGGCGGCGACUUCGACUGCUCGAUGUAGGCGCGCACGAUCUGCACGAACAGCACGCCCGCGAGGCGAGUGACCACGGCCUCGGCGCCCGGCUUUGCCGCCAUCGUCUCGUGAAUCAUGAAAUUGAGCGCCGUCUGCAGCCAGGCGAACUCGGAGGUCUCGGUACCGCGCAGGUGAAUAAAAGGCGGUAACGCCGCGACCAGCGGAUGCAGGCUGUCGCGGUCGAACU
rnacentral:misc_RNA from 1 species